rnacentral:rRNA from 1 species
GCACGGGCGGCUGCAGUGGGGAAUAUGGGACAAUGGGCGAAAGCCUGAUCCAGCAAUGCCGCGUGAGUGAUGAAGGCCUUAGGGUUGUAAAGCUCUUUUACCCGGGAUGAUAAUGACAGUACCGGGAGAAUAAGCUCCGGCUAACUCCGUGCCAGCAGCCGCGGUAAUACGGAGGGAGCUAGCGUUGUUCGGAAUUACUGGGCGUAAAGCGCACGUAGGCGGCUUUGUAAGUUAGAGGUGAAAGCCUGGAGCUCAACUCCAGAAUUGCCUUUAAGACUGCAUCGCUUGAAUCCGGGAGAGGUGAGUGGAAUUCCGAGUGUAGAGGUGAAAUUCGUAGAUAUUCGGAAGAACACCAGUGGCGAAGGCGGCUCACUGGACCGGUAUUGACGCUGAGGUGCGAAAGCGUGGGGAGCAAACAGGAUUAGAUACCCUAGUAGUCUU